rnacentral:rRNA from 1 species
GACGAACGCUGGCGGCGCGCCUAACACAUGCAAGUCGAACGGAGCUGAGAGAAGCUUGCUUUUCUUAGCUUAGUGGCGAACGGGUGAGUAAAGCGUGAGUAACCUGCCCUGGAGUGGGGGACAACAGUUGGAAACGACUGCUAAUACCGCAUAAGCCCACGAUCCGGCAUCGGAUUGAGGGAAAAGGAUUUAUUCGCUUCAGGAUGGACUCGCGUCCAAUUAGCUAGUUGGUGAGGUAACGGCCCACCAAGGCGACGAUUGGUAGCCGGACUGAGAGGUUGAACGGCCACAUUGGGACUGAGACACGGCCCAGACUCCUACGGGAGGCAGCAGUGGGGGAUAUUGCACAAUGGGGGAAACCCUGAUGCAGCGACGCCGCGUGGAGGAAGAAGGUUUUCGGAUUGUAAACUCCUGUCGUUAGGGACGAUAAUGACGGUACCUAACAAGAAAGCACCGGCUAACUACGUG